rnacentral:rRNA from 1 species
GACGAACGCUGGCGGCGUGCUUAACACAUGCAAGUCGAGCGAUGAAAGCCUUAUGAACUAUUCGUAGUGAUUGGGGCCGGAUUAGCGGCGGACGGGUGAGUAACGCGUGAGCAACCUGCCUUAAACAACGGGAUAGCCUCGGGAAACCGGGAUUAAUACCGUAUGAGACCCCGCCUUCACAUGAAGAAGAGGUUAAAGAUUUAUCGGUUUAAGAUGGGCUCGCGUCUGAUUAGCUAGUUGGUGAGAUAAAAGCCCACCAAGGCAACGAUCAGUAACCGGCUUGAGAGGGUGAACGGUCACAUUGGAACUGAGACACGGUCCAAACUCCUACGGGAGGCAGCAGUGGGGAAUAUUGCACAAUGGGGGAAACCCUGAUGCAGCGACGCCGCGUGAGCGAUGGAGGAAUUCGUUUCGUAAAGCUCUGUCCAAGGGGAAGAUAAUGACAGUACCCUUGGAGGAAGCCCCGGCUAAAUACGUGCCAGCCGCCGCGGUAA